rnacentral:rRNA from 1 species
GACGAACGCUGGCGGCGUGCUUAACACAUGCAAGUCGAGCGGUAAGGCCCUUUCGGGGGUACGACGAGCGGCGAACGGGUGAGUAACACGUGGGUGACCUGCCCUCAGCUCUGGGAUAAGCCUGGGAAACCGGGUCUAAUACUGGAUAUGACUCCAUGACGCAUGUUGUGGGGUGGAAAGCCUUGUGCGGCUGAGGAUGGGCCCGCGGCCUAUCAGCUUGUUGGUGGGGGAUGGCCUACCAAGGCGACGACGGGUAGCCAGCCUGAGAGGGCGACCGGCCACACUGGGACUGAGACACGGCCCAGACUCCUACGGGAGGCAGCAGUGGGGAAUCUUGCGCAAUGGGCGAAAGCCUGACGCAGCGACGCCGCGUGAGGGAUGACGGCCU